rnacentral:piRNA from 1 species
AGGAUGAACAAUGGAGAGAGACUGUC